rnacentral:rRNA from 1 species
UACGGGGGGGGCAAGCGUUGUUCGGAAUUACUGGGCGUAAAGGGCUCGUAGGUGGCCAACUAAGUCAGACGUGAAAUCCCUCAGCUUAACUGGGGAACUGCGUCUGAUACUGGAUGGCUUGAGUUUGGGAGAGGGAUGCAGAAUUCCAGGUGUAGCGGUGAAAUGCGUAGAUAUCUGGAGGAAUACCGGUGGCGAAGGCGGCAUCCUGGACCGACAUUGACGCUGAGGAGCGAAAGCUAGGGGAGCAAACGGG